AAGUCGUAACAAGGUUUCCGUAGGUGAACCUGCGGAAGGAUCAUUAGUGAAUUUUUGUAAAGGGGUUGUGCUGGCUCUUGCAAGUGCACGCCUCAAUACACUCACACCUGUGCACCCGUUUGACGGAAGCUCCUUUCUUUGUUGAAGGGGGUGGAUGUCCUUUACACACACGCAUAGUCAUAUUUAGAUUGGUGGUAUUUGAAAAUGUAAUGACAACUUUCAACAACGGAUCUCUUGGCUCUC
rnacentral:misc_RNA from 1 species